rnacentral:rRNA from 1 species
GACUCUCGACAACGUAUAUCUUGGCUCUCGCAUUGAUGAAGAACGUAGUGAAAUGCAAUACUUGGUGUGAAUUAUAGAAUCCCGUGAACCAUCGAGUCUUUAAACGCAAGUUAUGCCUGAAGCCAUCCGGCCGAGGGCGCGUCUGCCUGGGCGUC